rnacentral:snoRNA from 1 species
CCCAUGGAUGACGAGGAGCUGGUGACCUACAUCCUCGCCGGGUUGGACUUCGACUACAACUCGGUUGUCUCAUCUGUGGCAAACCGGGCUAAAUCAAUC